GACGAACGCUGGCGGCGUGCUUAACACAUGCAAGUCGAACGGACAGGCCCUGCUUUUGUGGGGCGCUCGAGUGGCGAACGGGUGAGUAACACGUGAGUAACCUGCCCUUGACUUUGGGAUAACUUCAGGAAACUGGGGCUAAUACCGGAUAGGAGCUCCUGCUGCAUGGUGGGGGUUGGAAAGUUUCGGCGGUUGGGGAUGGACUCGCGGCUUAUCAGCUUGUUGGUGGGGUAGUGGCUUACCAAGGCUUUGACGGGUAGCCGGCCUGAGAGGGUGACCGGCCACAUUGGGACUGAGAUACGGCCCAGACUCCUACGGGAGGCAGCAGUGGGGAAUAUUGCACAAUGGGCGGAAGCCUGAUGCAGCAACGCCGCGUGCGGGAUGACGGCCUUCGGGGUGUAAACCGCUUUCGCCUGUGACGAAGCGUGAGUGACGGUAAUGGGUAAAGAAGCACCGGCUAACUACGUG
rnacentral:rRNA from 1 species